rnacentral:rRNA from 1 species
UACGUAGGGUGCGAGCGUUACUCGGAAUUACUGGGCGUAAAGCGUGCGCAGGCGGUUUUGUAAGCCAGAUGUGAAAUCCCCGGGCUUAACCUGGGAAUGGCAUUUGGGACUGCAAGGCUGGAGUGCGGCAGAGGAGACUGGAAUUCCUGGUGUAGCAGUGAAAUGCGUAGAUAUCAGGAGGAACACCGAUGGCGAAGGCAGGUCUCUGGGCUGACACUGACGCUGAGGAGCGAAAGCGUGGGGAGCGAACAGG